rnacentral:rRNA from 1 species
UACUCCUACGGGAGGCAGCAGUAGGGAAUCUUCGGCAAUGGACGGAAGUCUGACCGAGCAACGCCGCGUGAGUGAAGAAGGUUUUCGGAUCGUAAAGCUCUGUUGUAAGAGAAGAACGAGUGUGAGAGUGGAAAGUUCACACUGUGACGGUAUCUUACCAGAAAGGGACGGCUAACUACGUGCCAGCAGCCGCGGUAAUACGUAGGUCCCGAGCGUUGUCCGGAUUUAUUGGGCGUAAAGCGAGCGCAGGCGGUUAGAUAAGUCUGAAGUUAAAGGCUGUGGCUUAACCAUAGUACGCUUUGGAAACUGUUUAACUUGAGUGCAAGAGGGGAGAGUGGAAUUCCAUGUGUAGCGGUGAAAUGCGUAGAUAUAUGGAGGAACACCGGUGGCGAAAGCGGCUCUCUGGCUUGUAACUGACGCUGAGGCUCGAAAGCGUGGGGAGCAAACAGGAUUAGAUACCCUGGUAGUCCACGCCGUAAACGAUGAGUGCUAGGUGUUAGGCCCUUUCCGGGGUUUAGUGCCGCAGCUAACGCAUUAAGCACUCCGCCUGGGGAGUACGACCGCAAGGUUGAAACUCAAAGGAAUUGACGG